rnacentral:rRNA from 1 species
UCGAACGGCAGCACAGAGGAGCUUGCUCCUUGGGUGGCGAGUGGCGGACGGGUGAGGAAUACAUCGGAAUCUACUCUGUCGUGGGGGAUAACGUAGGGAAACUUACGCUAAUACCGCAUACGACCUACGGGUGAAAGCAGGGGAUCUUCGGACCUUGCGCGAUUGAAUGAGCCGAUGUCGGAUUAGCUAGUUGGCGGGGUAAAGGCCCACCAAGGCGACGAUCCGUAGCUGGUCUGAGAGGAUGAUCAGCCACACUGGAACUGAGACACGGUCCAGACUCCUACGGGAGGCAGCAGUGGGGAAUAUUGGACAAUGGGCGCAAGCCUGAUCCAGCCAUACCGCGUGGGUGAAGAAGGCCUUCGGGUUGUAAAGCCCUUUUGUUGGGAAAGAAAUCCAUCUG